rnacentral:rRNA from 1 species
GACGAACGCUGGCGGCGUGCUUAACACAUGCAAGUCGAACGAUGAACCCGGAGCUUGCUCCGGUGGAUUAGUGGCGAACGGGUGAGUAACACGUGAGUAACCUGCCCUUGACUCUGGGAUAACUGCGGGAAACUGUAGCUAAUACCGGAUACGACCCUCGGCGGCAUCGCCAGGGGGUGGAAAGAAUUUCGGUCAAGGAUGGACUCGCGGCCUAUCAGCUAGUUGGUGAGGUAACGGCUCACCAAGGCGACGACGGGUAGCCGGCCUGAGAGGGUGACCCGCCACAAUGGGACUGAGACACGGCCCAGACGCCUACGGGAGCCAGCGGGGGGGAAUAUUGCACAAUGGGCACAAGCCUGAUGCAGCACCGCCGCGUGAGGGAUGACGGCCUCCGGGUUGUAAACCUCUUUUAGUAGGGAAGAAGCGAAAGUGACGGUACCUGCAGAAAAAGCACCGGCUAACUACGUGCCAGCAGCCGCCGUAA